rnacentral:tRNA from 1 species
GCCUGGGUGGCUCAAUCGGUUGAGCAUCUGACUUCAGCUCAGGUCAUGAUCUCAUAGCUCGCGAGUGUGAGCCCUGCCUCAGGCU